AAGGGCACCACAAGAACGCGUGGAGCAUGUGGCUUAAUUUGACUCAACGCGGGAAAUCUUACCGGGUCCGGACACACUGAGGAUUGACAGGCAAUCAUGUGAAUCGUUUUUAUCUUUUAAAACAUUCGCAUAUAAAUAUGCUAGUCCUUUCAUGAUUAUGUGAUAGGUGGUGCAUGGCCGUUCUUAGUUCGUGGAGUGAUCUGUCUGCUUAAUUGCGUUUCAUACUGGACUUAGAAAUCAAGUGUGUUUAUUUUUCUUGUGCGGUUAUGUUUUAAUGCAUUUUGUUACCCCAUUUUUUUGGGUGAGUUUCAAUUUGUGUUUUACAUUCCGUGCUUUAUUGAUAAAUAAAUACACAUCUAGUCCUGAAAGCAACGAACGUGACCGCAUCCUCUUGUUGCCUUUUAACUUAAAACAUUUUUUUUUAUUUUUUUUACUUUAAUUUCUUGUUUUAUAAUAUAAGAGGCUUUCUUAAAACUAGAGGGACCGCUGCGACUUUUUUAAACCAGAGGAAGGUUGCGGCAAUAACAGGUCUGUGAUGCCCUUAGAUGUUCCGGGCUGCACACGUGCUACAAUGAUUAUUGCAGUGAGCAUCUCAUUUACAGCACUGUUUUCAUUUUUUUUUAAAAUGAGCAGUCAAAGCCUGCUUCGAAAGUUCGCAGGUAAUCAAUUGGAAGUAAUGAUUUCCCUUAACUCAAAUUUAUUUUUGAUUUUGUGAGCACACAAUAUGCUACUCCCCUCCCUGGCAUUUAGCUUUUUGUCUAUUUGUCAUUGUGUGUGGGGAUGCUCAGCAUGUGCUUUUUGUCAAUUCAUGGUGGGGACAGACCAUUGUUAAUUGUUGGUCUCGGUCUCAACUAGGAAUGCCUUGUACGGGUCUUUGGUUCAACAAACCACCCGGAAUACGUCCCUGCCCUUUGUACACACCGCCCGUCGCUCUUACCGAUGGACUUCUCUGUGAGUUUGAGGGACUGGGUACCUUAGUUUUUUUUAUUUUUUUUUAAUUUGAAAAAAGCUAUAAUCACUUAUGGAAACUUAAACGAACAGUGUGGUGUAAAGGAAAGAGAAGUCG
rnacentral:rRNA from 1 species